GACGAACGCUGGCGGCGUGCUUAACACAUGCAAGUCGAACGGUGAAGCGCCUUCCUUUUUGGUGGGUGUGGAUGAGUGGCGAACGGGUGAGUAACACGUGAGUAACCUGCCCCCUUCUUCUGGAUAACCGCAUGAAAGUGUGGCUAAUACGGGAUAUUCUGGGUCUGUCGCAUGAUGGGUCUGGGAAAGAUAUUGUUUCGGUGGGGGAUGGGCUCGCGGCCUAUCAGCUUGUUGGUGGGGUGAUGGCCUACCAAGGCGGUGACGGGUAGCCGGCCUGAGAGGGUGGACGGUCACACUGGGACUGAGACACGGCCCAGACUCCUACGGGAGGCAGCAGGGGGGAAUAUUGCACAAUGGGCGCAAGCCUGAUGCAGCGACGCCGCGUGAGGGAUGGAGGCCUUCGGGUUGUGAACCUCUUUCGCCAGUGAAGCAGGCCUGCCUCGUUUGUGGGUGUGUUGACGGUAGCUGGAUAAGAAGCGCCGGCUAACUACGUG
rnacentral:rRNA from 1 species